rnacentral:rRNA from 1 species
UACGUAGGGUGCAAGCGUUAAUCGGAAUUACUGGGCGUAAAGCGUGCGCAGGCGGUUAUGUAAGACAGGUGUGAAAUGCCCGGGCUUAACCUGGGAACUGCAUUUGUGACUGCAUGGCUAGAGUUUGGCAGAGGGGGGUAGAAUUCCACGUGUAGCAGUGAAAUGCGUAGAUAUGUGGAGGAACACCGAUGGCGAAGGCAGCCCCCGGGGUCAAGACUGACGCUCAUGCACGAAAGCGUGGGGAGCAAACAGG